rnacentral:rRNA from 1 species
GAUGAACGCUGGCGGCGUGCCUAAUACAUGCAAGUCGAGCGAACAGACGAGGAGCUUGCUCCUCUGACGUUAGCGGCGGACGGGUGAGUAACACGUGGAUAACCUACCUAUAAGACUGGGAUAACUUCGGGAAACCGGAGCUAAUACCGGAUAACAUGUUGAACCGCAUGGUUCAACAGUGAAAGACGGUUUUGCUGUCACUUAUAGCUGGAUCCGCGUCGCAUUGGCUAGUUGGUAAGGUAACGGCUUACCAAGGCAACGAGGCGUAGCCGACCUGAGAGGGUGAUAGGCGACACUGGAACUGAGACACGGUCCAGACUCCUACGGGAGGCAGCAGUAGGGAAUCUUCCGCAAUGGGGGAAAGCCUGACGGAGCAACGCCGCGUGAGUGAAGAAGGUCCUCGGAUCGUAAAACCCUGUUAUGAGGGAAGAACAAAUGUGUAAGUAACUAUGCACGUCUUGACGGUACCUAAUCAGAAAGCCACGGCUAACUACGUG